AACGAACGCUGGCGGCAUGCCUAACACAUGCCAGUCGAACGAGACCUUCGGGUCUAGUGGCGCACGGGUGCGUAACGCGUGGGAACCUGCCCUUAGGUUCGGAAUAACUCCCCGAAAGGGGUGCUAAUACCGGAUAAUGUCUUCGGACCAAAGAUUUAUCGCCUUUGGAUGGGCCCGCGUUGGAUUAGCUAGUUGGUAGGGUAAAAGCCUACCAAGGCGACGAUCCAUAGCUGGUCUGAGAGGAUGAUCAGCCACACUGGGACUGAGACACGGCCCAGACUCCUACGGGAGGCAGCAGUGGGGAAUAUUGGACAAUGGGCGAAAGCCUGAUCCAGCAAUGCCGCGUGAGUGAUGAAGGCCUUAGGGUUGUAAAGCUCUUUUACCCGGGAUGAUAAUGACAGUACCGGGAGAAUAAGCUCCAGCUAACUCCGUG
rnacentral:rRNA from 1 species